AAUCAACUCAUAUAUACCUCCAGACCAAACUUGGUUCAUUUUCUUGAAGCUAGAACUAGCAGUCAUGGUUGGAAGACUCCAAUACUUUGUCUUAUUUCUCAUCAUUCUUUCUUUCUGCAUUCUACAUGGGGUGGCACGUCCACUCAACACUUCAGUGAUGCAGAUAAACGCUGACCAAAAACAAAAGAGUAACUUUAUAGAGUCUUCAGUAUCACACAUGGUUGAGAGAAACUCAAUCAUGAAAAGUCAUAGACAGAAGAAGAAUAUUAGUCGGAACCUAGAAGUUAACAUGGACGGUCCUAGCCCAGAUGGACCAGGGCAUCAUAGGUGACAAGUUUUAUACUGUCAACUUAACAAUUGAAGAUUCAAAUAGAAGAAAUUUAUCUCUAAAAUUUUACGUUUUUAUGUUAUUGGAAAUAUUUACUUCUAGUGCUUACUGUUCUCAGUGUUCUGUGACUCUAUCUGUCGUUGUCACUGUCUUUCUGUGCUUGUUUUUAUAGUGUAUGUCGUCCUCAUUUUCAAGUGUGAUUUCUGAGUCUUAAGAUAUUUCCUAGCCUGGUUGGUGUGUUUGUAUUAGCUGGGAGACUUCUUUAGGUCUUUUAUGUGUUACUUUUAUUUUUUUAUUAAUGUAAUUUUCCCAAGCCUUGUUAAUAAUAUUUAUUUUUAAGCAAAAAUAUUAGUCCA
rnacentral:lncRNA from 1 species